GCAAUCAGCUGCGAUACGAGGUGUACAUCCUCGCUCUAGCGGAGGUAGGGUGGGAAAGAGGGGGGGAGAGAGGAGCGGUCUGCCUACACUGAAGCAUCAUGGCACCCAUCGGACUGAAGGCGGUGGUCGGAGAAAAAAUUAUGAAUGAUGUCAUCAAGAAGGUGAAAAAGAAGGGAGAAUGGAAGGUACUGAUAGUGGAUCAGCUCAGCAUGAGGAUGCUUUCGUCUUGCUGCAAGAUGACGGACAUCAUGACAGAGGGCAUCACCAUUGUUGAAGACAUUAACAAGCGGCGUGAGCCACUGCCCAGUCUGGAGGCGAUUUAUCUCAUCACUCCAUCGUAUGAUUCUGUUCAGGCCCUCAUCUCAGACUUCAGAGACCCACAGUCACCACAAUACCGCGGGGCCCACGUGUUCUUCACGGACUCAUGUCCGGACCCCCUAUUCAAGGACUUGGUAAAGUCCCGCGCCUCCAAAACCAUCAAGACAUUGACUGAGAUCAACAUCGCCUUCCUGCCCUAUGAGUCACAGGUGUACUCUCUGGACAGUGCAGAUGCCUUCCAAAGCUUCUACAGCCCCUACAAGGCCCAGCAGAAGAACCCGGUGAUGGAGCGGCUGGCCGAGCAGCUAGCCACGCUGUGUGCCACACUGAAGGAGUACCCUGCUGUGCGAUACCGCGGUGAGUACAAGGACAAUGCGACUUUGGCACAGCUUCUUCAGGAUAAACUGGAUGCAUACAAGGCUGAUGAUCCCACCAUGGGAGAGGGUCCAGACAAGGCGCGCUCCCAGCUGAUCAUCCUGGACCGGGCGUUUGACCCUGUGUCACCCAUCCUGCACGAGCUCACCUUCCAGGCCAUGGGCUACGACCUGCUGCCCAUCGAGAACGACGUCUACAAGUACGAGACCAGCGGAAUGGGAGACGCCCGGGAGAAGGAGGUGCUGCUGGAUGAGGACGAUGACCUCUGGAUGACCCUGCGGCACAAACACAUCGCAGAGGUGUCUCAGGCAGUGACACGCUCCCUGAAGGACUUCUCCGCCAGCAAAAGGAUGAACACCGGAGAUAAAACUACCAUGAGAGACCUGUCCCAGAUGCUGAAGAAGAUGCCUCAGUAUCAGAAAGAGCUAAGCAAGUACUCCACCCAUCUCCACCUGGCAGAGGACUGCAUGAAACACUACCAGGGCACAGUGGACAAGCUGUGCCGUGUCGAGCAGGACCUUGCCAUGGGCACAGAUGCAGAGGGCGAGAAGAUCAAGGACCCCAUGAGGGCCAUCGUCCCCAUCCUGCUGGACACCAACGUCAGCACCCACGACAAGAUCCGCAUCAUCCUGCUCUACAUAUUCCUAAAGAACGGGAUCACAGAGGAGAACCUGAACAAGCUGAUCCAGCAUGCACAGAUCCCACCUGAGGACAGCGAAAUCAUCACUAACAUGGCUCACCUGGGAAUACCCAUCAUCUCAGACUCCACUCUGCGCCGUGGUAAGAAACAGGACCGCAAGGAACGUGUCAGUGAGCAGACGUACCAGCUCUCACGAUGGACCCCGUUGAUCAAGGACAUUAUGGAGGAUGCAAUUGAGGACAAACUGGACACCAAACAGUACCCCUACAUCUCAACCCGGUCUUCCGCCUCAUUCAGCACCACAGCUGUCAGUGCCCGUUAUGGCCACUGGCACAAGAACAAAACCCCUGGGGAGUACCGCACGGGACCCAGAGUCAUGGUCUUCAUCGUUGGAGGAGUGUCCUUCAGCGAGAUGCGCUGUGCCUAUGAGGUCACACAGGCCAACGGCAAAUGGGAGGCCAUCAUUGGUUCCACCCACACGCUCACCCCCGUCAAAUAUCUAAAGGACCUACAGCACACCGACUUCCGGGAUCCCAAUAGGGAAUCCUUUGAGGAAGAUCCGGAACCGGCAGAGGACUGAGGGGGCGAGAGAGAGAAAGAGAGAGAGGGAGAGGGAGGAAAUAACACUGAUAAAGGUCCACCCACGUCUUUACCCCCACCCGACUUCUCAACGCCCUGAAGGACAUGAAUAAACCUGAGGAGGAGCCGGAGGACUAAAGACCUGGCCCUCCUCCCGCUUUCUCCCUUCUUCUCCACCGCUCUUCAUCCUGGCUUCCCCCGCCUUCCCACCAGUGAACCUCUCUGUCCUCUGUAUUAAACAUGUACACAUAUCGCGAGUGAAGAAUGUAAAACACCAACUAUAAAGCAAAGUUCAAAUAUAAAUUAUUGCAGUUUCUUGUUUUGCAACGGAUGCACGUAGAUGAGUUUUUUUAUUUUUUAUUAUAUCAUUUAAGAAAGACACUGGAAGUACCAAACGUAAGAUUGUAUGCUUUAUGAAAAUCUGCUGCAAUGUGUACAAUUUAGAGAUUUCUUUGGCUUCCUUUGGUUGUUUUAAUGGUGUUAAUGGUUUUGUUAUGUGUUAAUAGGAUGCAUCCAAGGUGACUGAGUGGGAAAAGCUAAAAAGUACACAGAGAGCUGACUGUAUGCGCCAUUAGGUUUGGACACGUCCAUUUUAGGUGGAAAACUCUGGAGACUUUUGCAGCAAUUACACAUUAGGAGGGGGGAAAAGUAUUUGAUGGUGCUUCCCACAAUGAGGCAUAUGGAGAUCAUUUGGAUAAGACACUGCCAUCCAUCUUAGAAAAAAAUGUCCUGAACAGGACACAUACGUAACCCAAACAUUUGAGUUAAAGGGACCAAGACCACAUGAAUGGAAUGUCCAGUUUUCCGACAGGGAAAGAUACUGAAAAGCAGUUUACAGAAUUUCCGUAGCAUGGCUGACGGCGUCCGAUCUUGACGUUUUGCGAGCGGUUGGGUUUCACUGCCCAGGCGUCCAUUUCAGAAGAGAAUUCACGUUUCAGCGUCAGAAAAGGUCGUCCGUUGGCAACUUUAUAAAGAAUGUUGUACAAAAAAGGCCAGUUUUAUGUCAGUAUUGUAGUCUGUGAAAUUAAGUCUUAUCAUUGGUUCUUAGUAACAUUUAACCCAUCUCCCGUGCACUGAAACCCGUGUGUGUAUAUGCCAUGUUUUUGUGACUCGACGUUUCUAGUGGUAUUUCUGACUGUGAAAGUAGUUCCCAUUUGAACAUGCCCAUACAAAGUCACUGUGAUCGUGAUGUCAUAGUUGUAGCCAUAGUGAUUAAAUAAGAAAACUAUCAAGAUGUUAUUAGCUUGUUUCUCACCUGGUGUAGCGUAAAAGUCCAGUGGUGAAAAAGGCUGCAGAUAUUUUGGAUUUUUGGUUUCAGUUUAGCAAUUCUUUCCUCAAAUUUAGCCACACCCUUUUAUUGGGCUAAACUGUACAUUGCACUGUCAUUGUCAUGUUUUUUUUUUUUUGUUAUCUAGCGAUCAUUGUCUUGAUUUUUAUCAAAGUUAUUUAUCAGUGAAAAUAAUAAUAAACUGAAUUGGUCGUAAAACCA